rnacentral:lncRNA from 1 species
CUUUCAUCACUUGCUCCGGUAUCAGCUCAGGUGGUGUGUUCCAUCGUCGUUCGUCCUCCUCCGUGAGAAAAAUUCGAUCAUCUGUGGAACGAAGCUUUAUGUGACACGUAUCUUAUCUACGAUCCCAGGUUAGUCCAAGCAAGUGAUUUUUACCUGCCCACGCGACCACCAACACAACAAAACACAACGGCACAACACAACGAUGAAAGAUGAUGCUCCCGGCCAUCUCUAAGACCGUUCUGGCUCGAGCACGACCAUUCUCCGCCCUUUUUCAAUAAGUAUGAACGACCUUAAAAUCCUUAUUGGCAUUCGUCUCGCGUCCACUCACGUAAUACUCUUGGACGGAGGAAUGGAGUUACGAUCACGCGGUGACUCGUACAGAGAGAAAUGGGAUUAUCGAGGAACGAUCGUUAAUUUCGUAUAAAAUUAUUUCGCGGGUAUUUAAAUUUAUCCUCAUAUUUAUUUGUACAAUGCAAUCAUACGAAUCUCGUAUUCUUUUUUCGUUUUGUAUUUGUCGAAUCACGAUACUUGAGAAUUUUCUAAUUAUUUUAAUUUCUAGUCGAAUAUUUCUAUAUUUCUUCAAAACAAUGAAUUACGUUUCUGGUCUUUCCUGACUUCAUAUUUUUCUCCAAUGAUCGAUCGAUUUCAAAUUAAGUUUUUAAUUAAGUGACAAACGAUAUUUCCAUAUUUUUUUUUUUUUUUUUUUUUUUUUACCGUUGUGUACAGGUUUAAAAUAUUUCAAACACGUGUUUCUACGGUAUAUAUUAUCAGUAUAAUUAAUGUGAGUGAAUCAUUGAAUAUUCACCAAGUAUUGAAUGGAAUAUAUUAUAAUGUUCAAUCGUAGGAAAAUAUACGGUAAAUCAUACGAGGCAAUCAAUAUUACGUCUCGUAAUAAUGAAACGAUGAAAAUAAAUAUUUUCCUCGGAUUUUAAUCAAUUAUUAUACGUGAAUGAUUCACGUUUCUCGUUCUUUCAAUGAACAUCUCGAUUUGAUCACAAUUUGUUAUUGCAUUUCUCAGAACUUUUAAAUACGUCACAAAAUUUUUAUCAAUUAAUUUUUCAAUAAUUUCAAUAUUUCGAACGCGUGUAAUGUUGAUUCAACGGAAGAAUUUACAAAAUAACAUAACGAAACGUUGUGAAUCGAAUCAACAAUACGAUAAGUUAAUUACAGGAGAAUGCUAGUUUGAGAAUCACUGUGCCCCUGCUGCUCGAGUUGCCCUACAUUCGUUCGCGUAGGAUGGUUUGCCAGCAGCCAGGGGUAAUCGCCGACUUUUCGGUAACCGAGAAACAACCAAGAUUGAAUUUUUUGAACGUUCGAGCAAAAAUUCUUCAAAAUUCUUAUUUCACUUGCUUUUUCGCAUCGAAAGCUUGACAAGCAUUUGACAUAGAGUCGAGCAUUGAAAGUAAGAUUAAAGAUUAAAAAUUUUCGUGAAAACCUCGUUUAAGUAAAUUUUUCAAGCAACUUAUCGAGGUGACCGUUAAAUUUUAUCGAUCGCGUCCACUGAAGAACGGACGGCGAGCAAUCCUUCGGAAGAAUAAACAAAGUUUUUUCCGCGCAAACGUGUUAUCGGCCUGGACGGUGCGAAAUAACGAGGAUACGCACAAUACGAGUCGACAACUGGCACGUGAUUCAUUCGUAUUGGGCCAGCAGCAAGUUUACACAGCGUCUUGACAUUGAACUCGAGCUGUGGACGAGUACUUUGCCUUCGAGCAACGAUUAUGGACGGACUCUGUAAAAGGGAACGAGCCUCUGGUGUCUGAAAAGCAAAGCGUCUGAAAGAUUAAUACGCAGAAGCAAUCGUUUCGCGAUGUGGAAGAAUAUUUCUCAAGAAAUCUUUCGAAUUUCAUCGAAUUUCAUCGAAAAUUUCCGUUAUUCUUUCCAAGCUCGCCCAGCUAAUAAAAUAAUCGAAUCCUUGGAAUCAAUAAACCAGUAAUUCUCCGUGCAUCUUUCUACGAAAGUUGACGAUAAAGAAAAAGAAGAGGACGAGGAGGAGGAGGAGGAGGGAGAAGAAAAUGGAAGACGUACAAUUGCCCGAUUAUCUUCGAUCAAUUGUUAGAUCGUGUACAACAGGAUAGGAAAAGAAAGGAAGAGGAUAAACGAUAUUUAAUUAA